UGCCCACACAUUGAGCUUCCUUCUACCUAUACAAAGCCCAAGUCUUUCCUUCACUUUCACGUUCUUGUCAAAUUGGGCAGAGGGAAAGUAAACCUCGUUCAGCUCCUCCCUUCCACGUUGCCAGCAUGCAUAUGGCCAUUACUCCAAGAACAUCACUCCAGACCUUCAAAAGGGAGAGUCCCAAACCAGAGGUCGAUGUCCACCCUCCUCUUCUCGCCCUUUCUCUCUUUACUGGGCACAUCAGUGUGUUUGCAUGCCUCGAAACUCCUAGUUAGGGACCUCCGAUCAAAAAACUUUCUUCAUCAAAGUUGUUCGUCUACGUCUCCUUUAUCUAGUCUCCAAAUUUCAGCUCCAUCGGAGACGUUUUGAGACCUGUACAUCUCUCGAAGCAGAAGAUGUUCGGAAGCGAGCCUGUUCCGGAUUUCUGCUUGAAUUUCCUUUCUUGCUCUAUCCGAAUCCCCCGCAUCUUGUUUGAGACUGAUACCAACAGUUGAUUGAGCGAACUUCUUGGCCUGUGGCUGGACUCGAUCCAAUCAGCUCCCUCAGCUCUCUUUCCUGUUGAAACCCUCAAGAAAAACUCACCUUUUUUAUUAGUCUUUGGAUCUUGUGAAGUGGUGGUUGCUACAAGGUUGCAUUGAGGCCAAGUGCUGCAAGAGAAAGCUCGAGUUCCAGGUAGGGGAUGCCUUUAACUCUAUCUAUGCUUUUCUUGCAUAUACUAUGUUUUAUAUGAGGCCUCUUGCAUGGUUUUUGGAAAUUAUCUGUUUUACAAUUGAAAUGGUUUGCGUGGAUUGGAUUGAUGUGUUGGCAAUUGAUGGGGAUGUAAGGAGAGGUCAGUUCCUCCUUGAGCCACCGGUGGUGGGCAGUGUGCACCAUGCCCUUGUUAUUGAAUUACCCCCUUUGUCUCUAGCCUUGUGAUUAUUGAAUUCCGGAAAGUGAUUGGCUAGAUGGACGGUUAUGAUGAAAGUUGUGGAAGAAUAUCAAUUGCCGUGGGAUUGUAGUUACGUGGUGACGAUCACGUGGAAUCGCAAACCGGUUUUUAUCUAUUACUUUUUCUCAAACCGAUAACUCAUAUUUUUAAACUUAGAAAUGGGGGCGGGCAUGGGCAAUGACUGGAUGUAGGAGCCUAACCCCUACUUUAGUUUGUUUUGCAGGAUGUUGUUGUCGAAGCUUGGGUACGGAGGAUAAUCCUUGGAGGCCAAAAUUUGUUUUGUUUAAAGUUUAUUUUAUUUGGCUUGUUUGAUUUCGUUAAAUUUUUGUAACGUUAUGUAUGGUUGAUGAUGUGUGUGAUUGCUUACCACCAAAGUGGAACCCUAGGGUUAGAACCUCCAUUUGAGUUUAGGUCCUAGUGGGCUAGACCUAGAAGACUCACGUAAAUUACCUUUCAAUGAACCUAAUGUAAACUUGGGCUAAGAACUAAAAAAUGACGUAGGUUCUAAACUCAACACAACACCACCUUCCUUUCC